UACGUAGGUCGCAAGCGUUGUCCGGAUUUACUGGGCGUAAAGAGCGCGCAGGCGGCUGGUCAAGUCCGAUGUGAAAUCUCCCGGCUCAACUGGGAAACUGCAUCGGAAACUGAUCGGCUUGAAGAUGGGAGAGGGUAGUGGAAUUCCCGGUGUAGUGGUGAAAUGCGUAGAUAUCGGAAGGAACGCCGGUGGCGAAAGCGGCGUGCUGGACCCCUUCUGACGCUGAGGCGCGAAAGCCAGGGGAGCAAACGGG
rnacentral:rRNA from 1 species